CCCUAGCCCAGAUUGCAACGGCAUCCUUUUGAGUUGCGGCCGGAGCAAAGCGGAGGCCGUAACUCAAAAGAUACAGUGGAAAGCUGGAAAUAGC
rnacentral:sRNA from 1 species